AUGGCGUGGGCUGGGGGUUCUGCCGACGAACUAACCUGAUACCCAAAGCGAUCGGAUCUUUGGGGAUGCGCACGAAUAACCCUGGCGAUUCAGGCGCUGGGGCUGGAGUCUCCUCCUUUGCUUUUCAUCUCCCUCUCUCUCUGGGUUCUCGUUGCCCGUCCCCCCCCCCAUCUCAAGCGUUUCAUCAACACGGGGGCAUUUGGAACCCCAAGGGUAAACGACAACCAGGCACAAGUUAAGCACGCUCCUCCGCGGGCGGCUGGUAGCGCCCCCAGCUGGGGGCAGGGCCUCGCGAGGCAGAGGGCAGGGAAGGACCUGGAGCACCUGCUCCAGAAUGGCGUUUUGAAAGAAAUCUCAACUCUUCGUAAAGUCGGGAAUGGCGUGGACACAGGGAGGAGGUGUUUCCGCACAGUAACCGCGCUAACAGAAGGGCAGAGUCUAGCGCCCGAAGUGCCGCGCCCGCCCUCCGUGUCUUAGCUCUGGAACCGAUGGUGGUAUUUUCAGCAUCACUCUUGUGGUCGUCUCCACAAAAUGGGAAAACGAGAGAGCUCCACCCUUUGAAUCACCCACUUCCACUGAGGUAGCAAUGGCUGCCAUCUGCCCUGAGGAUCAGCGACAUUGAAGUCAACUCGGAGUCCCAAGUUCACCAUGGAACAAAGUUGAGGUGAGUGGAGCCUUAAAAUGUUGAAUCGCCAUGUUCUUGCCUCUCGUGCCCGCCCGGCUACAAAACGCCACGUUUCUCUCAUGUGGUGGAGCUGAGGAGAGAAGGGAUGCCCGCCCAGCUGAAGCAGAUUUAUUCCCCAGAUAACAAGGCGUAUGCUUCCCACGAGGCUGGUGCAUUUAGACCCUCCAACGCAGGCAAUAGCUUGAGACACAGGAAGAGCAGAAAACCACGGUGAAAUAAUUGGAAGUCUUCGCAAGAGGUCACACGGAGUCACAUCUCUGCUGCUCGACAUCAGCGCUUUAGGCCUCGAUAAACUGAGUGAAUGUUCGUUGCCCUCAGUCUUACUCGGAAGCAAAGUUUAGAGCUUUGUGAGUGGGUGAACGUGUUUAUGAAACGAAAACUGAGUUAUCUGCCUCCGGUGUGCCGAUGGGACUCUAACUAUCUCAGGACCGAUUUCUUUGUUGUCGUCAGUAUUGAAGCUUAGCCGGGCCCACAGAUAUUCAAUAUACAAAGGCAUUCGGCACGACUAAGCAUUUGAUCCAGCCUGUGUUUUCUGUGUUCUUUUCCUUUCUGUCGUGUCCUAAGCAUUAUUAAGCAAUCAGCGACUUACAUG